rnacentral:lncRNA from 1 species
CACACCCUCUGCUGAUCCCUGUGGAAUUUUACAUGGAUAAUGAGUAAAAGAUUGACUCCAGAAGAAGGAGAUGAAGAAGCCUAGAUUCCAUAAUGCGGGAGUCCCAGAUCCUCAAAGUACGAUGAUUCGCCAAAUCAAGAAAUGAGGAUUAGGAAGCAGUCACCCUCGAAAGGAACUAAAUCAUCACCUUGGGAAUUGUGGCCAGUCAUGAGACAUGCAUGAGGAGACUGAAGGGGGUUUUUGCAGUGCCAGGUGUGGAUUGAGAUUCAGCCUUGUAAGACUUACUCACUGAAAACUGGAAUUUGCUUAGUUCCAAGCCCAUUUUGAGCACCAUUCAUUGAGAGGCGCCUUUCUUCUGAAGUCUUUUAUCCCAGAACGCUGAAAGCGUUCCCGUGUCCUCCCUGCAAAGAGGAUUCUCCCACACUCCAGCCCAGACCCGGACAGAUUGGCCCCCAUCAGUUCCAGGCCUGCUGAGCGCAGUGGCUUCCUCCUCGGCUUCAGAAGAAGUUUUUGUCGUUUCUUUUUCUUACAUUCUUCAAACCAGGAAUUUAAAAAUUGGAAAAGGUAAUUUCAAAAAGUAGAAACAAAUAAA